rnacentral:misc_RNA from 1 species
AAAAAAUUCAAAAUUAUCAUCAACUACUCAAAGUCUUAUCAGGGCCACUUUUGAGUUUUUGGUUGUAAAUCAAUCAUUCAGCUUGACUAAAUCCUUAUUUGGGGAUCCAUUCUCUUUCGAGGUGCAAAAAUUCCCUGGAGGGAUCACUAUAAUUCCACCACAGAGUGCGUUUCUUCUGCAGAAAGUGCAAAUACGAUUCAACUUCACUUUGAACUUCUCUAUUUAUCAAAUACAAGUAAAUUUUGCUGAACUAACAAGUCAGCUGAAGUCAGGCCUACAUCUAGCGGCUUAUGAGAACUUGUACAUAAGUUUAUCAAACUCCAAAGGUUCAACGGUGGCUCCCCCUACUACUGUUCAGUCAUCUGUUGUAUUGGCUGUUGGGAAUACUCCCUCAAUGCAAAGGUUAAAGCAACUGGCUCAAACCAUAAGAGGUCAUUCAAGGAACCUUGGUCUGAAUAACACUGUUUUUGGUAAAGUUAAGCAAGUGCGUCUUUCAUCUAUCUUGCCACAUUCACUCCAUGGUGGCGAAGGCAGUCCCUCACCUUCUCCUACCCCUCUCCCUCAUCCCCACCACCAUCACCAUCACCACCAUCACCAUCACC